CUUUUGCUUAUCUCAUCCUCUUUAAUGGCCGACACAUUGAAUUAUUACAACGACCGUAAAGUGUGCGAGCUUUUAGACGAGAUAGAUCAAAAACAAAAAUGCGCACAUCUAAUCGUGGGAACGGUAUGUGGUUUUAUUACAAUGGUGAUAUUCAUCUUAGACGCAGUUUUACAUUUCUUGAUAACAAAUGAACGAUCAUAUACAACAACUGCAACGUCGACGACAGUCACAGUGUAGGGGAAAAACCCGUCGACGACAGAAACUCGACCAUUCAGCAUUUAUCGUAGGUGAUUUGACUCUUUCUUAACUCUCAUUUGUAAACUCAUAACGUAUGGUACAUAAAUGCUAGAAAAGAUUACUGUAAAACUCAACACGUUCAUAUUAAAAUACUCAAACCAUUUUUGUUAAUGUGUCAACAGCUAAAUAAAUGGCAAGGAAGCAUUAUGAGAUA